rnacentral:ncRNA from 1 species
CAAACAAAAAAAACCAUUCAUACCAAGGGAGAAGUAUGAAUGGCCAAUACAUUGCGGGAAAACGUCUUACUUGCUGCACCGCCCAAAAGGGAUAAAAGAGCGGUGUGUCUCAGCGGUUUUUAUUCUACCUGUAUCAGUAUUAAAUGCUGUUAAGAAGUGAGACGAUUUAAGUAAAUUGCGC